AUUCCAGCUCCAAUAGCGUAUAUUAAAGUUGCUGCAGUUAAAAAGCUCGUAGUUGGAUCUUGGGAGCGGGCGGGCGGUCCGCCGCGAGGCGAGCCACCGCCCGUCCCCGCCCCUUGCCUCUCGGCGCCCCCUCGAUGCUCUUAGCUGAGUGUCCCGCGGGGCCCGAAGCGUUUACUUUGAAAAAAUUAGAGUGUUCAAAGCAGGCCCGAGCCGCCUGGAUACCGCAGCUAGGAAUAAUGGAAUAGGACCGCGGUUCUAUUUUGUUGGUUUUCGGAACUGAGGCCAUGAUUAAGAGGGACGGCCGGGGGCAUUCGUAUUGCGCCGCUAGAGGUGAAAUUCUUGGACCGGCGCAAGACGGACCAGAGCGAAAGCAUUUGCCAAGAAUGUUUUCAUUA
rnacentral:rRNA from 1 species